UACGUAGGUGGCAAGCGUUGUCCGGAAUUAUUGGGCGUAAAGCGCGCGCAGGCGGCCUUUUAAGUCUGAUGUGAAAGCCCACGGCUCAACCGUGGAAGGUCAUUGGAAACUGAAAGGCUUGAGUACAGAAGAGGAAAGCGGAAUUCCACGUGUAGCGGUGAAGUGCGUAGAGAUGUGGAGGAACACCGAUGGCGAAGGCAGGUCGUCUGGGCCACUACUGACGCUGAGGCACGAAAGCUAGGGUAGCGAACGGG
rnacentral:rRNA from 1 species